UACGUAGGGUGCAAGCGUUAAUCGGAAUUACUGGGCGUAAAGCGUGCGCAGGCGGUUUCGUAAGUCUGUCGUGAAAUCCCCGGGCUUAACCUGGGAAUGGCGAUGGAGACUGCGAGGCUAGAGUUUGGCAGAGGGGGGUAGAAUUCCACGUGUAGCAGUGAAAUGCGUAGAGAUCUGGAAGAACACCAAAGGCGAAGGCAGCGUCCUGGGGAGGAACUGACGCUGAGGCGCGAAAGCCAGGGGAGCGAACGGG
rnacentral:rRNA from 1 species